UAAUCUUUCAAUCGGUGCACCAUGCAAGCAUCACAUCCAAUGUAAUAAUUCUGAGAAUGACAGACACUGCUCAAGGGAAGGUAUAUGUUCUUGCAUACACGGAAAACCUUGGAACGGUUCAUGUUUUACGGUUGGGAAAUUUAUCCAAGAUCCUUGUUUUCUUGACGAACAAUGCACAGGGACAGAGAAUGCCUUUGUAUGUCAAAGUGGAGUAUGUGGAUGUAAAGAAGGAUAUUUUAGAAAGGAUAAUACUUGUAUAGAAGUGAAUAAAUUGGAUUCCAAAUUGUUUGUGAUCGGGAUUGGAGGGUUUCUUUUCGGUGUAUUUUCUACAGUGAUCG